CCAAGAUUUGAAUUCCAAGCUUUUGUAUAUAGCUUUAAAGAGGCCCUGAUGCAGACUCUGUACUGAAAAGUGUAGCUGCUAAAGUUGUUCCAGAGAACUAAGGAGCGUCUAACUAAAAGCUCAGAUUCUCAAGAAGGAAAUUACAAGUCUGAAGUCAACAGCAAACCCAGGAAGGAAAGAAGAGCAUUUACCAAGAGCAAAUCUGAGGACUAGAAGCAGAAUUUGCCCAUCACAACUAUGUGACUAGACUGAGGAGAUACAAGAUAGCAGAGAAAUCUGGAUCUCACCAAAAGACAGGAUCCUCUAAAUCUAACAAAUGCUUGUCUUGACUUUGCCAAAGCUUUUCAAGAUUGAAGUACAAAGAAAUUCUAUCCUGCAAAUGGGAAAAACAAUAAGCUUGGAGAAGUCUCCUGCCAGAUAUCUGGUAUCUGACAUGGGGAAGAAAGAGAAAACAGCUGCAUGGGAAUUUAACAGGGAGUGGUAAAAAGGACAUUUUUACAGAGUGAAGGCUGCCAAAUGUAGAAGGAGUGGGAGAUCCUGCCACUUCACAAAAUCUUUUCCACAGUGCUAAUCAAAGGUACAAUAUUGUGAAUUUGUAAAGCAGCUAAGAUGAGCGAAAUAAACAUACUGAGAUCUCAAUAC